ACCGUGUGUGUGCAGCCCAAGAGAGUUUGCCUGAGAACUGCCCCAGUCCUGAACCACUGCUGUGGGCAACCCAGGCAAGGAGAUGGGCACAGCCCCAGACAGAGCAGGGACUGCGGAACCCCUGCCGCGCUGAAUCAGUGCUGUGUGCGAUGGUGACCAGGGUAAAAGGUGUGUCUGGGGGAUUCAAGGGGUGGUCACAGAAGGAAACACUGCAGUGCAGACGUUUCCUGGCCCUGAGGAUCAGUUCCCAAGAUCUGGAGUACAUCUUUGUGUGCUGUAAAAUGUUACUGUAUCUAAAUGCAAUUUGUCAUUCUUGAAUUGUGUGACAUGGUAAUGACUAUGGAAAUGAUGAAAAGUCAGGUUUGGCACCCGUUUGAUAGGUAUAUUCUUAAUGCAUACAUAAGCUGAGAUAAGCUCAAACAACGGCUGUCUUGCUUUAGUCCUUUGCAGGACAUCUUGUUUCUAUUCAGGUGGCUGCAAUGAAACGAGGCUGGCUCCAAUGUGCCAUCAGGGUGCAGAGGCUUCCCUGGGACUCCCUCCUGCCAUGCAUCAUUGAUGUGUGAUGCUAAAGCUGUUUGCAUAGAGCACAUGGGAACCAGACCUGAGCAAGGAAGGUCAAAGUGAAGUGAAAGCAGCAGAGCUCAUCUCAAGCUUUGUUCACAGUUCUGCAACAGGAGCAGCUCUGUGGAGAAAGUGGUGGCUGGCUCUGUCUCCGUUCCUCAGGUGGUCCCAUUUGGAAUCCCUCUUCCAGGGAAGGCUAACCAUGAAGGAGACACAAAUGCUCUUGUAGAAAUGAAAUCAGGUCUGAGUAAGAGCUCUGAAUCCAGAUGGCACCACGUCUUGAAUGCAGACAUCUGCUGCCAGUGACUACACCCGCUUGCAUUGGAUGGGAGUCACCAAUAGCUCCACAGAUGCAGCCCCAAACCAACAUCUGCAUAAAGCUCCUCUACUUGGAUUUGGCUGUGAGCGUGUAAUGGAUGGGAACCUCGCUGAGAAUUGAUUCCCUCUCAUGACUGAGAGACAUAACACAGUGUGAUUUUGUCACAGUGUGUUUCGCAGAGUGCAUAUGUAUAUGUUCAUGGUGACUGUUUGUCAGAAAGAGGCAGGAAACCAU